rnacentral:rRNA from 1 species
AAAUUGAAGAGUUUGAUCAUGGCUCAGAUUGAACGCUGGCGGCAGGCCUAACACAUGCAAGUCGAACGGUAACAGGAAGCAGCUUGCUGUUUCGCUGACGAGUGGCGGACGGGUGAGUAAUGUCUGGGAAACUGCCUGAUGGAGGGGGAUAACUACUGGAAACGGUGGCUAA